rnacentral:lncRNA from 1 species
CAAGUGCUCUAUCAGAGGGCCAUUAGACUGAGGCUCGUGCAUGAGGGGAUAGCAUGCUUUUACUUUCACUCUCUUUGUAAUAAAAAACGAUUUCCCGGUCGGAAUAUUAUCGCUUUUUUACGAGAAAAAUUGCAUAAAAAUUGAUUUUAAACAGCGGUUGACAUGCUUCGAAGUACGGUAAUGGAAUAUUUAGAAUUUUUUUGUCACGAAAUGCGCCAUGCUCGUCACCCUUAUUUACCCUUUCGGAUAGUGUCUUGAACGCACGAACAAAAUGCCGCUAUUUGGAUAUAACAAUGGAUUAUUUGGGACCAAACCAACAUUUGUUAUUGAAGUAGAAGUCCUGGGAGUGCAUUCUGACGAAGAACAGCAAAGACCUAUCUGCUGCCUUUGAUACUGUGAACCACCAGAUCCUCCUCUCCACCCUCUCCGAGUUGGGUAUCUUCGGCGCUGCUCACUCUUGGAUUGCGUCCUACCUGACAGGUCGCUCCUACCAGGUGGCGAAUCGCAUCUCUGCAUGUCUGGCAGACAUAUCAGUGUGGAUGACGGAUCACCACCUCAAGCUGAACCUCGGCAAG